UUUCGUUUCCAAUUUUACGCCUACUUUUAUUCCAAUUUUAUACUAUCAUCGGAUUUAUCCACCUUAUCAGAUCUCUCUUUACCUCUCUCUCGGUUUUGGCCAUUCAUUCAGACGAAUCUUGAUGGUGAGGUGCCGAAGAAAAAUUUCCAUUAUCUUGGUUCAUUUUGUUCGUUGCUCUUCGCGGUGUUGUGUGGGUAUGCUCUUCUUAGGUAUUGAAUCAACAGGAGGCUAGGGUUUUGGAUUUUUGGUUUUGGCCAUCGAUUAGAGGAAUGCGGUCCCACCGGGCUUUAGCCCGACAUCGUUCCUCGAGUCCCCGUGCUUCUCUCCAACAUGAAGGUUAGAUUCGGUUCGGUCUCUUUUUCCUUUUUGAGUAAUUAAUUCUGUUUAGCUGCCGAGAAAAAAAAAGGUCAGAAAGUGAUGGGUGCCCCAGCAGCUGGAGUGGAAAUUCUCGCAGGUUUUUGGUGAACGGGCAGCCGGGGAAGAAGUUCAGGAAGGUGUAUUUUGUUAAUGAAACUGUUAAGAAUCUGAAGGCAGAAGUGGCUAGAGUUUCAAAGAUCAAGUGUAGCAAAUGUGGACAGAAAGGGAGCAGCCCUGGGCUGCUAUGCGAAAUCCUAUCGGAAAAGCUAUCGUGUUCCCUGUGCAGUGGAAAUGUCAGAUUGUCUCUGGGAUCAUGUUCUUGUGCUCAAGUUUGCAAGCAUGUGUGGUGCAACUGUCACCAAGUUUUGGAAAUCAAAUGUCACACACGUGAUUGCGACCACAGAUGCACAGGAUGCAUGUACCAGGACCCUUAAAGUUCUCAUGGCCAUUUUGAAUGGGAGAUGGAUCCUUAAAAUUGGCUGUAAGUUGCCCUUAAUGUUGUUUUUUGUUGUGCUAAUUAGCUCUUUGACUUUCUUGUAUAAGACCAGUCGCAGGUCCAGAAACUCAUCUUUGUGGGACCAAAAUAUGAUAAUAAAAAGUUUUUAAGAUAUAAGCAAUAUUUUCAAUAAGUUUUUAUUAACUUAAGGAUAUAUGAUACAUGUCUAUGUAAUGAAAGAUAAAAAAUUACUGAUAAUUAAAAACUUAGUAUAUUUAGUGUUUUCUUUUCAAGUUGUGGAUGUGGAGGAGAGAACACUAAUAAAAGAAAGAACAAAAUGUUGAACGAAAUUCAAGAGAAAAUAGAGAAAAGCCACAUAGAAAAAAGAAAGUGGAAGAGAAAAUUAGAAAUUUAAAGGAGACUGGAGUGAAUAGGAAAAUGCUACAUGCCAUGGGUUCUUUCUAUAAAUAAAAAGAUAUUUUUUGGAUUUUUAAAAUUUUAAGGGCCAAACUUAUAGGUUUUCAAAAAAAUUAAAGCAUUUUACAAAAACUGGGCUACAUUUUGAAUUUUAGCAGAAACUUAAUAGAUUUUUUUAAGGGUUAAUUUAGAUAUUUUGAGAGUUAUAAGGAUUAUUUAUAGAAAAAUUCUUCUUGCAACCGGCUGGAGAAACCCCCAAGUAACCGUGUCCACUUGGGAAAAUAAAACUGUGCGUUUCAUAUACAGUGUUCCAUCAUAUUUUUCCUCUCUCAACUGCUCCUUUCGUCUUCCCAACGAAGAACGCCAAUUACCUUGAUCAAGAUUAAUAACCAGGAGAUGAAGAAACUCCAUUAUAAAAAACAAAAAAAAACUAGAACUGCCAAAGACAAUAGAAAGAGGCAUUGGACUCACCUAAAACUGAUGCAAAGAUGCAGAAGAAUCUCAAAAGAGAUUAUAAACAACAGAUCCAACCAAUUAAUCUUCCAAAUACAGCUCUAUUUUUAUUUCCCCCCUCAAGCUCCUAACAAGAAAUAAGUCCUCCAUUAAAUGGGUAUACGCCUAGACCCCCAGCAUUUUUGGUUCAAUCUUAGCUGGGGGGUAAUUUCUUCUCAGUUUGUCAUUUCUUUUGGUAAAUUUCUUUUGCUUUCUCAUUCUUGAACAUUUUUUUUGUUUUUUAUUUUUUGGAACAUGUUUCUGUGCCAUUUUCCUGUUAUUUCCAAUUUUUCAGUCACUCGAAAGCACUAGUUUGUGCCUUUUUCAGUCACUCAAAAGCACUAAUUUGGGUAUUUUUCAGUCACUCAAAAUGCUCUGUAAAAAUAGAUUUGGGCAUUUUUACACUUGAAAUGCUCUAUAGAAAUGGGUUUGGCCACAAAAAUAGAGACUUCUCAGUUUCUUCGUUCUUCUUUCUUCCUUAUACGUUUUACUAGGUCUCUUUUGUUUCUUUCACUCUAUUUUCAGUCACUGGGUGAAGUGCUGUUGGGUUUAGCCCGCUUUCUUCUUUUCUCCGUUUUCAUUUCAUUAUUUUUGGUCAAAUGAUGACGUGACAACUUACCACAUCAUCCGGUUAUAUGGCAGUUCCGCAAGUCGGUUGCUUGUAUGGAAUCAAUGCACCUCGUGGAUGAAGAACCUUAAGAAGUUGACUUUGACAACCAUGGGAGUUGCAAUGGCCCCAAAACUGGCAGGCUUAUGGGCUUCGAUAAUGCAAGUCCAAUUCUUUGAUGCAUGGCAGACAUGAACAAUGGGAAUAUAUGGAUUAUGCUGUUCGAACUUUUAUGAGCAUCUUAGUUCAACUGGACUUGUCUUAAAACUAGAAUGUCUGGAAGAAAAUUAACAGACCAUUCUCUCGUAAUAACUUAAAUAAGUCACGAGAAAUUGGGUGGCCAUCUUGUUGAGUCCUGGCUAUUUGUUCUCAAUAUAGGAAUUUCCCUGAAAUAUUUUGGCUGAAUGUUAUGGACAAUAAGAAGGCUGGUAAACUAUCUUGGUAUCGUAUCAAACAUCUUGGGAUCAAAACCUGCUUUCAGGUGGGAUGGGGUGAUUUAUGCGGGACUUUACAUGUUGAGUUA